CUGGCUUAUCUCAUCUCUGCACCUCCUAGUACAGCCUCUUCUUCCAGGCAUGUGGCUCGGUUCUCUGGAACAAGGAGUCUCCCAGUGCAUGGCUCAGUGGCCACGGGUCCUGUCUGAGCCUGCAUGAACAUUCCUGCCAUUGGAACAAAAGCAACAGAGGCUGGAUACCAAGAACCCUCGGUGGAUGGUGUAGGGUGUGUACCACUGUGGCUGCAUCCCAAAAACUGACAUGGAUAAAGCCAGGAGUCCCUGGUUAGCACAGCUGGAGUGGUGGAGCAGCAGAGAGCAGCCAGGUUUUCCAUGCUGCCUUAGCCUUGAAGAACUCCUCUGCAGCUGGCGCCCACACCAGCCAGCAAUGCCUGAAAGGGAACCUUCUGAGGCACAGCAUUUCUGGCAUAUUUUCUGCUUGCCAUCUGUCUGCAGGGAACCAUCCUCAGGGCAGGAGCCUCCUGUGUCACAGAUUUGGUGCAUCAACCAAGGGCACUGUGACACUCACCAAAGGCAAGGCAGACACAGAAAUGUCACCUUCAGUCUGAGAUCAGUCCAGCACAUCCUGUCAAAGCACCCACACUGGCUGGAGGGAAGGAAAGAUGUCUUGGCUCAUCCUGACAUCAGACCACUGGGCCACCAGCAAGGAAUGUCAUGUUCAUGACACAGAAGAGAUGGAGGACCAGGACCACCUAGCCCAGUAUAAAGAAUAUUCUUCUGGCAAGGUGUGAAGGACAGGGAUCCUCAGGUACCCCUUCUUGACCACCAUUUGUGUAUGCUGUCCAAAUAAUUGUUUUUGAAUGGCAGCCAG
rnacentral:lncRNA from 1 species